rnacentral:lncRNA from 1 species
GAAUACCAACAAACACAGAGCUCAACAUAAGAAUUAUCAUUCUUGUGAAAUCCAUCGCACACCAGCCAACCACUUAUUCAAGUAAUAUCAUUUACUGGAAUACCAACAAACACAAGCAUGACGACACUGCUACAAGGAACAAGCGCUCUGUUCGACCACUUUGUCUGUACAAAAGCACAUCUGCACCCAUUCGAAGAUAAGAAUGACAUCAAGAGAAGAUGAAAAGGCAUGUCUCCCAUACUCAAACUAUAAACAGUAUUAGAAGAAAAAAAAUAUCAUUCCAGGGAUUACCUCGACGAUUAAAGGAGAAUUAUAUUCAUGCCAGAUAACUGGAGCUAGCACCAUUCAAGGACAACCAAUUGAUGCAUGUUUAAAUCGUUGGCUGUAGAUAAUCCUAUCUUUACAAGUCCAGAGUUGCUAGCUGCAUCAAUAAAGCCGACAAAUACGUUAGUCCCAUUGUGUUGUCCUGACUGAUUGCAUAGUUGAUUUACAUUGAUACAUAAAGGACGAACAAAUUACACUCAAGUGUUCAAUUACUUACACUGAAAUCUGUAGGCGCAGCAGCCAGCCACCAAGUCUAGUUACACUGGCAUUCUAGCAAGCGGUGCCAAUAAGCCAUGCUCUCUCCAACCGUUGUCUUUGUAGAGAAAGAGAAACAUAUGUAUACGAACCUACCACAAGAUGACAGAGGCACUGAAAGAUGAGUAAGCAUUCUGCCGUAUGGAAACCACAGAAGUACAUAUAUUAUACACAAGCACUUGAGUGGUUGAUGUAAGCUAUCAUUUUCCCUCUGAUAAUCCUACCUUUACAGUUCAAUAGUUUUGUCUCUGGACCGACAAAGUCCCACAUACGUUCAGUCUUAUAUAGCUGUUCAAGCGAGCUGAGGUCUAGAGGUCCCCGUCCUGGAAGGAAUUGCGAGAGUGGGAGGCGUUGAAUUGAAAGUCCAUUUUGUAACGCCCCGAUUCCGACAUACAUCCAGGAUCGACACGUGACGUCACCAAAUACCCGUAUCUCAACAUACCCCGCUUCCGGGAUAUGGCAAAUCACAACUCGAGAAUCGAAUUGCAUAGUAAUUUUUUUGUAUACUUUAUUACUGCAUCUAACCUCAUCGUUAGACUGCAUACGUACCCUCAACAGGAAUCAAGCCAUUUGUAGUUCGUCGCACUUGAACAAUCAUCGCUUAAAUCUCUAUGUCUCAACAUAAUACCACGAUUCAGAUAUGCAACAUAUCAAGGAACAUUCAACGAAGCACAAUAAUAUUCUCUAGUCAUGUCAUUUACACACACAUAAGCUUUCAAACGCCAUUCAAUAAUCACAGCAAUCAAUAACACAUACAAUACAUCAAAAUGCAGGGUUAAAGCGACACCGUUCGGUUGAAGCCUACAUCUCUGAAGUUGAAAUCAAAUCCAAUGAACCAACAAGUCAAAUGCUACGAUUUCGGACCACUCAACGAAGUCCAUUAACAUCGGGUUUUGGACCACUCAACGAACUCGCGAAGUAGAAGGGAUUCUGAACCAUCACUCAACGGAAUCCAAGUGGAUACGAUUUCAAACCAUCACUCAAUGGAAUCGCGAAGUUGAAAGGAUUCCAAACCAUCACUCAACGGAAUCCAAGUGGAUACGAUUCCGGACCAUCACUCAACGGAAUCGCAGAGUAGAAGGGAUUCCAGACCAUCACUCAACGGAAUCCAAGUGGAUACGAUUUUGGACCAUCACUCAACGGAAUCCAAUUGGAUACGAUUCCAGAUCAUCACUCAAUGGAAUCGCAAAGUAGAAGGGAUUCCGGACCAUCACUCAACGGAAUCCAAGUGGAUACGAUUUCGGACCAUCACUCGACAGAAUUGCAAAGUAGAAGGGAUUUCGGACCAUCACUCAAUGGAAUCCAAAUGGAUACGAUUCCAGACCAUCACUCAACAGAAUCGCAGAGUAGAAGGGAUUUCGGACCAUCACUCAACGGAAUCGCAGAGUAGAAGGGAUUUCGGACCAUCACUCAACAGAAUCCAAGUGGAUACGAUUCUAGACCAUCACUCAACGAAAUCACAGAGUAGAAGGGAUUCUAGACCAUCACUCAACGAAACCCCAGUGGAACCCAGUUCGGGACACUUAAUGGAACCAAGCGGAAGUCCAAGGAACAUAUCAACGGCUCGAAGAAACAAGACAUGAAUCAAGUUACUCAAGUUACAAAGGCUCAACGAAAUGAAACAAAGCACAAGUAUUAAAUGUAGAAUGGCUCAACGAAACGAGAAAUGAAAUAAUGAACCGAGGGGUGAGACAUGUAUCGAAGCAACAAACCCCAUGACGAUGGGUUAACGGUCCACUACUAGCCCUCACUUUUCAUCACAUCAAUCCAAAUAUACAAAACAAACCAUAUUUCCAAUAUGCACGUCAAAUCACAAUUAAUAAACAUAGAUCGAUGCUAAAAAUAAAAAUAACACUUCAAUAGAAAGCACAUUUAAUAAACAAGUAUAACUCAAUAUGGUGCCACCAAUACAUAUAUCGAGACACACGUCAACCGAGAACGACACGUCAUUGUGAUAAGCUAACUAAGUUCCAUCAAGCCUCAACAACAAACUAGAGAUAAACGACACUCUAGAGUAUAGCACGUUGACUAGAACGUCAACCGUCGAUAAGGUAAGUCCAUUAAGAUCAACAAUCUAAGGUUAUUCAAUCCGGAAGAUCCGCACAUCGGAUUUCCAAUCCGUAAGUUCUCAAAGGUCCAACAAUUGAUAACUAGGGUGCUCACAAAAUUGUACGACGAUCCACGAUCGAAUUGUCGUCAAUACAAACAAGUGGUGGUCCAAUUUGAUCACCACAACAAACAAUUGAAUUUCAGGAAACCGAGCUAGACGUAGGUUCAUAGGGUCACUAGAAGGUAUUUGGAACUUAGACAACACUCGUGGACGGUUCCACGCACCUCUACACGCGGUGGUAGCCAAGGUGGAGGGUUUUGAAAAUCUGAAUUUUCAACAUUAACUAAAUAAGCUCAAAUUUACGUGGUAGCUAAAGCUCAACAAGGGAAACACUUUUCAAAACUCUAAAAUGAAUAUGAAAGUACGAACCAAGCAUACCAACUUGAAGAUUAUGAAGAGUAGAUGAAGUUUCAUACCUCACUCGAAGGAAAUGGUUGCCGGAAUCACCGGAAAAAUGACAAAAUCGCCGGAAACCCACGGAACUUUGCUGUCUAGAACUAGAAAAAUGGAUUAAAAAAAUUGGGAAAUCUAACACUACAGAGAUGUAGGGUUCGUCAAGAGUUUUUCAUGGACACCAAGAUCACCCAAAACGAAGAUCGGAUGAAGGAGAUACAAGCGAGUCAAGUUUGUGGGUUAACGAAUCAAAUUCUCCCCCAAAAUGAGUUAGCAGCAGCCCCCCCCUCCCCCCCCUUUUUUUUUUUUAAGAAACCUUCCCCCUUUUUAAUUUGAUUGGUCAUCUGUUCAACCUUUACUUCUGAUUGGCCACAAAAGCACAUACCUCUUUGGGUUUUUUCCCUCAAAGUGAGAGUUUAAAUAAUUUCUAAAAUUUAUAUUUUAGUAACACAACUUCAAACGUCCGUAACUAUACCGUUAUAAUCCGGACUCGCAAAUGGAUUUCGCCUAUGCAUUCGUGGUUUCGAGAUCUAUUCGAAAAUAUAAAUUGUAACCUCUAAAGGUCUACGAAUUUUAAAUAAUUACUGAUCAAAAUUCAAACUUCGUAAUUAGUUUAAUUAAAAUCUAAAGUUAAUAUAAAUUUCCAAAAAUAAUAUAAAUUCUCCUUGAUACCAAUACAUAGUUUGCAAUAGUGAAAUCCAGGAACAGAAUUUCACACAUUUCCACCCAAAAGAUUUCAAACUUGACAGUCCAGAAAAUCAGAGCACCUUUUGAUAAUCCUAUCUUUACAGGUUUGCUUGCUCGCUGCAUCAAUGAAACCGAUAUAUCUGUUAGUCCCAUUACACCUACCAGAAGAUUACAGUUAUGUCGCAAAUGAGAGAAGUGAGAGAAAAGCAUCAUCCAGGAUUUACCUCGUCAUGCAGGAGAAUCAUACAUAUCCACCCCAAGUAGUUCCACAUUAUCAGACUACAAAUAAUUCACUCCCCUCGCCGCUCUCCUGUAAUUUCAUCGGAAUUAGACUCUGAAACUCUAAUUUAAGCUGGAAUAUUGCUGAGGACAAUCAAUUUAAUAAUAAAUAAAUAAAAGUACCUGGCUUUUGUCUUGAGAGUUGAGAGUUGAGAGUUGGAGAGAGUGAAAUGAAAGCUCAUAUGAUGGUGAUUUCAUCAUCUAUGUUUAUGCAAGGAAUGCGAGCUAUGUUUCUCCAAUCUUUUCCCUUCUUGUUCCGAUACUUCUUCUUCAGAGAAGGACAACCCUCGAUGCUCAGAUAAGAAAGAGAUGCCGGCAAACCCUCUUUUGGCAGGAAUUCGAGACUCUGGCAGCCUGAAAUUUCUAGCUUUUGAAGAGAAGUAAGGUGCUCAAGUCCCUUUCCGUCCAAAGAUUUCAGAUUCCAUACACCACAGAUUUCGAGAUGGUGAAGAGUGGCAGGGAGCAGCUGUUCAUUGAGCAACGUCUCCACCAGAUCCUUGCUUACUCCGACGAUCCCAAAUGAUUGUAGGUUGGGAGGCAAACCCCCUUGUGCAAAUGACACCACAUUUGGAAGAUUGGCUAUCCCCAAAUCUUGAAGGGCGGUGAGGGUGUGCAUGCGGUCCGGCAACAACUUCAAAUUGUCACAGUAUAAGACUUGAAAGGAAGUGAGGUUGGGAGUGGGCAAUCCCCCGUCGGGAAAAGAGACAAGAUUUUGACAUCCAUUAAUAUCCAGGGAGUUGAGAUGGCUGAGAUUUUCAUCUGCUCCUCCUUCAACUGAAAGAGAUUCCAGAUUCUCACAAUUACCGAUAGAAAGAGAUGAAAGGUUGGGGAAAAUGCCCAAAGGGAACGACCUCAGAGAAUCACAGCUGUCGGAUAGACUCAAAGACUGAAGGGAAGUCAAUGUGGCCAUCAUCUCACCUGAUAGGAAUUCUAAUUUCUUGCAAUUUUCUAUACCGAGUGACGUCAGCGUGGUGGGCAGACCAUUUGUAGGGAACGACAAGAGUGAGGAACAUCCCCAUAAUGUCAAACUUUGAAGACGAUUGCUGUUGUGCAUCAUUUGCGGCAACCAUUUGCUUCCACCAACACUACCAAUACGGAGCAUCUGAAGCGAUGGCAGCGUCUCCGUCGACUCUAGUAAUAAUGAGAGACCCGGGCAUCCCUUUAUUGUCAGUUCUUUAAGAGAUUCCCGUAAGGAUUCCGCGUUCAGGGUAUUACUGGCCCUGUUUUCAUGUAGAACCUCACAUGCCAAGACCUGAAGUAUUUUCAAGGAAGGAAGACGAAUGGGCAUGUUUCCUCUCAGCUUCGGACAUGAGAAUAACCUCAGCUCCUCAAGACGAGGAAAGUCUGGACUUUCACCUCCACUUGGACUUGGCUGCCAUUCCUCCCACUCUGGCAUCUCCCAAAACUCUAACUUCUCUAAACAUUGAAAUGGUUGAUUUCCGCCGUACAACUCAACACCAACACUCUUAACAACUUUCAUCCUUUCUACGUAGAGCUCUUUCAGAGCAGGUAGCUGACCAACUGGUGGCAAUGAACUGCAAUUACCACAGUCACUGAGACGCAUCACUUGUAAGUUGGAGAAGGACGAGUCUCCCACCCAAUUCGGGAAACUGAUUCCGCCAUAACACCUGAUGGUUAGCUUCACCAAAUUUACCGAAGGUUGAAGUCUUUCGAGCACAUAUCUCUCUUUUACGGAAUCAUUGGAAACCACACGACCCCAUGACAACUCUACCUCGUUGAGAUCUUUCUUAUCCUCCAGCAAGGCAUCAAUAGCACCGACUACAUUUUGCAGAUUCAAGAUAGAAAUUUUUCUUCCAAGGUGCGACAACUCCCUCAAUUCUGCAAUGCUUGACCCAGAAGAUUUCCCCAACACAAAAGCUGUCAGUGUUCUCAAACUUUUUAGUCUACCCAUAUGCACAGGCAUCUCUUUUAUGUUAGUUCCACCAAUAUCAAGAUGACGCAAAUGAAUCAAUUUCCUCAUGUCUGCAGGCAAUUCAACAAGAGAAGAACAACCGAACAACAACAGAGUUUGUAAAUUGUAGAGGGUACACACUGUAUCUGGUAACCUUUUAAUUGUCGUAUAAGAGAGAUCAAUGUAGCGCAAGUGUAUGUGGUUACCAAUGGAAUCAGGUACGUGAGUGAUGUUUUUGUAUCUUGACAAUGAAAAUGCUCGUAAAUAUUUUUGUGCUGGUAGUAAAUCAUCUAGAACCUUGUUGCUUACAUAUUCAUGAUCCCAACGGUAAUAUGGUGCUAAAGACGCUGGAAAGAAGGUACGCAAACACUUGACUCCUUCUAGUGGCUCAAAUUUUGGAGAUGUAUCAAAUUUUCCUCGCAUAUACGACAAGUGGCGAACUCUUUUAGGAACUUCAUGUGAAUUUUUCUGAUCCAACCUUAAACAAAACUCUCCAGACACAAACAUAGCCAAGUCAUUGAUAAGAUCAUGCAUUGUGAAACUUGGUUGAUCCAAUCUUGGUCUUUGAAAUAGUGACCGCGAUAACAGUUCGUCAAAGUAUCUUUCACCAACCUCCUCCAUAGCUUUCUCGUUCUUUGCAUUAGGAAUUAAGCCUUCUGCCAUCCAUAGUGGAAUUACAUUCUCUUUUUCAAAUUCAUAGUCUUUUGGAAAAAUUGAGCAAUAAGCAAAGCAUCGUUUCAAGUAAGUUGGAAGAUAGUGGUAGCUCAAUCUUAGAGAAGGAAGAACACUAUCAGCAUGCGGUAGAUCCCAAAGAUUGCUAUUCAAUAUGUGAUUCCAUUCCUUGUAGUCUAGGUUGCAACUUAAGAGACCCCCUAGCGUUUUUGCAGCUAGAGGCAAACCGUUGCACUUACGUGCAAUUUGCUUACCAAUUUCAACCAAGUUUGGAUGUUCAUAGGGGUUUUCAUUUCUAAAUGCAUGUUUUGCUAGUAACAACCAACAAUCUUCAUCUGACAAAUUUUCUAAGUUGUGAAUAGGAAUAGUAUUGUGCACAAUGGAUGCAACACGUCUACUCCUUGUUGUUACAAUGACCUUGCUUCCCUUUGCCCCAUACGUGAAAAGAAUUCGUAGACGCUCCCACUCAUUAUAAUUUUCAUUCCAAAGGUCAUCCAAGACAAGUAAAACUCUCUUUCCCCUCAGCUGUUCCCUUAGUUGAACUUCAAGGGAAUUCAUCUCCAAAUUGUCACAAGGCUUUUUAGUGAUUUCCUCAAUAAGGGUCUUAAUAACCCUCAAACCCUCAUACUGUUCGGAAACACAAACCCAAGCAUGAGUAUCAAAGUGGUCUUUAACUUGUUCAUCAUUGUAAAGGAGUUGAGCAAGAGUUGUCUUACCAACCCCGCCCAUUCCGACUAUAGGGACUACAGAAAAAUUACUGCUACUUUCAUUGUCAGAUAGCAGCAGUAGAGAUUUUAACUUUUCUAUAUCGCCAUCCCUUCCAUAGGUACAAAAUUCGUCCUCAACAACAGAAGUUGUGGGAGUUCUUUGUGAAACAUUGCCCCCAACACCUCCUCUAAGACCGAGGUUGUCUUUUUGUUUUGCAAGGUGUUCCAACUUGUUGAACAAAUCUUCUAUUCUACGAUUCAAGGAUUUAUAAUGAAAAGGAUUAAGGGAGGUAGAAAGGAUGUCCCGCACCUGGAUUUUCUUAGUCUGAUCUUUGGCCUUGCGACGCAAAUCUUCAGUAUCAAGCUCAUCCACCAAGUCCUCGGCAUCGAACACAGCAUGUUUGAGCUCGUCUAGCCACAUCCCGACGGCAGGGUUGACGAUCUGCUUCUCCUCUGCAUCGUUGAGCACUGCAUGGAGGGUCAUCAACGUCACCUCCAGUCUGUCCAUGAGUGAAUAGUCGAGUCUUCUUGCCCGGAAGAAGUCCAUGAACUGUCCGGAGGCAAUCUUGUCGCACAACACCUUGAUCGAACCGGAUAGCAAAGCCUCUCCAACCAAAGCCAUUUUCUCUUCUUGGCUAAAGGACUAAUUUUGAUCAAGUAUUUGGAGUUGAAAAACUGAAAAUUAUUCUUGGCAAAGCCUUUUAAGAUUACUUCAUGACGAGAGAGACGACUUGAUAUUUUUCUUGGUUAAUAAUGCAGCGGACCACACACGGCAAACAUAAAGUAGAAAUUAGUAGAGGUUGGAAAACGUUACCGAUCCAACAUUAAUUUAUUAAUUAUAUUCCUUCAUAAAAAAAUCGUUGUUGGUCAUGAAAAUUGGUGGAGUUGGAAAACAUUACAUCAAACAUUAAUUAAUUUAUUAUUUUAUUACAUAUAUAGAUGACAUUAUUUGAUUUGAGUGCAUCUUCACAUGUGAGACAAAGUCAAAGAAAAUAGCUCGGUGAAGAUGAACACAAUUCAAGAAUUCUAUCUAAUCUUAUCAGAACAUCUCAUGAUUCCCAUAUACUGGCCAAUGAUAGAUCACAAAUAUUAUACUUUACCUAUAUCAUCGAUUUCACAACAAAUCCAAUUUAUUUUUUACAUGUUUUCAAGAACUAUUUUAAGAAGUGACCAGAUGGGCCAUAGUGAUUUUCGAUUGGACAAAGCUCAUGGGUUAUGACAAACGCCCAGUUUCUACGCUAACAGUUUGAAAGUUGGAAGUAUGCAGAGUUUGUGAAACCAAGGGCUUUGUUCUCCUGCACAUGGAAAAGUAAAAGAAAAUGGCUGAGACUAAUCUCAAAUUGUUAAGUCGUAAAAAAAUAUGAAAAUUUCCAUUGAUGGAGCGGCGUAAAAUAAAAAAAAUUUAAAAAAUGCUGUAAUUGGAUCUCAACAUUUUUCCCUUGUCUUACUAAAAGAGUAGAAAAAAUCAUCGCGGGUAGUAGAGUGGUCAAGGACGAAGUCUAGGUUUAUAUUCCACACGACACGUCAAGAGUUCAAUUCUUGAUGCUGGUGAAUCACACAAUAGUGGUUAUGGGAGCUGAAAUACCUCUGCAAGUCUUCUCGGCACCCAAAAAUGUGAACCGCAGUGCCACCAGCUGAUUCCAUUUUUAAAAAGAAAAAAAUAAAAUAAAAGAAUAGAAAACGUUGGGGUAAAUUAGAGCAAGACUAUGUGCUUUAUGUAUUCGAUAAUUGAUUUUUUUUUUUUUUAAAAAAUAGAAGGCAAUAGUUUCAUUAAAACAUACUAAUGUGAUUUAUUUGAUAAUUGAUAAAUAAAUAAAUGAAAUGUGCUUUGUUUGCCUUCCAAUUGUUGUAACGGUCACAUUUGGAUCUUUGACCCAUAUGAUGAUCAAAUGGCCUCCACCAUCCUCUUGUGAUGAUUGAAAUCUCCAAAACCAAAUCUUGGUACUACUCUGUGUAUUCUACUCCAAUUCCAAAGGCUCUAUCUUCAUCUUCCUAUUAAAAGAAAAAUUAAGAAAUUUUCGGACGUGACUUCAACGCUAUGUAGCAUUUAAUGUUACGAGUGUAUUAGUUAUCAUAUUUAAUUUUCACAACUAUUACAUUUUAUAUUUUCUAUUCUGAAUAUUUAUUUUUUAUGACACUCAGUACUAUAUGCUUUUUGAAGAAAAAUGGAUUGUACUUUUUCUUGCUUUGCCAGUCUGCCUAUGUAUUCAACAUUCAUGGAACCAUUCAAGUUUAGGAUUUGGUUUGCAUCAGCAAUGCGCUUCAUCAUGAGGAAUUUAAUUAUAGGAGAAAUUUUUCAGUGUGCCAAAAACACUACUUGGUAUAUCAAGUGUAAUAAUGUAAUUAGUUGGAAUUAUUUUCUUUUUCAAGUUUCUAACCCAAUUAUCUUGUUACACUUAGAAUAAUGAACUGUGUUCCUGACGUAUUGAUAAAUCUCUCCACAUAUGAGGGGCCUAAAAUCUAUCAGUCUAGUUUCUAUGCCAACCAUGCCCCUUUUCUUAAGUAUACUUAAUCUUUAAUUUUCUUGGGUUAGCCAAUUUUGAGUCAAGGUUAACAUGUUUUUUCACAAAACUAAUUAAGAAAACACUCUAGUUGCGUAGUUAUAUUGUCAAAUUAUCGAAUUUGAUACUAUAAAAUUAUAUAAUCAAGUAUACGUUACCGCUAUUUAUAUUAAAUAAACACUGUAAUACUAUAACAUACUAUAUUUCAUGAUGAACAAAAAAUUUCCUUCAACGCUAAACUCAUGUUUAAUAUUGAAAUUGUUAUUGAAUAAUGAGGCACGACUUGCAAUAAACCUCACAUACAUUAACAAUUGAAAAUCGUUGAGACCCACUCUUCCAUGUUAUUAUGUUGACAAAAUGUUCCCAGACCAAAAAUAUACCAUAAAAUUCCAUGAUAUUGAUUCCACCAACACGCUGUCGUUUAAGGUCCCUCCCAAAAGUCCCUCAUAACCGUUGCAAACCCACUCUCAGCAUAAAUAUUCCUUUCAAACCGACCCACGCGCCCAUUUUCCAACCGUUUAAACCCCACUCCCUCCCUCUCUCUAAACCUCCAAGAACUCUAUCUCUCUCUCUCUCUCUCUCUCUCUCUCUCUCUCUCUCUCUCUCUCUCUCUCUCUCUACAUGUUUUCAAUCAUAAUCUGCAAGUCCUUUGCUUUUGCAAAGAAAAUCCAAAACCCAUUAGUUUCCAUCCAUCUGAAAUCGAAAUCUCCGCCUCCAUGGCUCCAAGAAAGCUUCUUGAUUUCUGGGUCGUCGUCUUCUUCCUCAUAGCCCUCUUCCUACGCCGUGGCUCCGCCGAGAACGUCAACAACUACUUCCCCUCUUUCAACUUCCGAAACCUUACCGGCCUCACCCGCGAGUUCACAGUCCCCUCUUCCAGCUCCGGCGCCGUCAUAUACAACAACCCAAUUCUGUUCUUUGACCCGGAAUUCAAGCUACUCGAAUUUGAAGCCCGAAAAGCCGGUUUUGAGCGUAGAGAUCGAUCUCUCCGAGCAUCUGAAGGAGGUUAUGUUCGUGGGUUUUUUGGCCUAGACGGAAGGGAGCACGGAGAAGCAUCUGGUUGAGAAUUGGAGCUUUCAUACAUGCGGGUUCGUUGCGAAAAGGCCAAAGCUACAGCCCCACAAUGUGUCUGAUACUUAUGUGGUGGUAAGUGUAAGUCCGAGAAUUCCAUGCUAGGACCAACCAAUUAAUAGGUGUAUGAUGUAUAAUAAUUUGCAGAGUUUAUUUUCAAAUGAAAAAUUAAACAACAAAUACAAUAUAUCAAGAUAUAAUCACUUAAUGAAAUUGCUUAUAAAAUUACAAAUCACUGACUUGUUAUUUGAGGAUAGAGGCUUGCAAAAGCAAUCUCCUAAGAUAGAAAUUCGCCCCUACACCAAUGCAGUAGAUCAGUGGACGUCUAUCUUGGAGGAUACAACUAUCUAAUCCAAGUUCUUGCACACGAACUUAGAUUCUUGGCGAAUUGGUUGUGGUGUUUCUUUUUGGAAUAUGGAAAAAGGAAGCGAUGGAGUUGAUUGAUUUGUUUCUCAUACUGUAGCCAUAUAUACAACAGGUAUUCAUCAAUUUCCUUCCUGAACUUGUAACUAUUGGCCAAUUUCCCCCCUCAACUUUAAUUUUUGCCAAUUUCCCCCCUCAACUCUCAUAAUUAGUCAAUUUGCACCAUACUCUAAUUUUUUAAUUUGAUCAUAAUUAAACAAGUGUGUGUAAGAAACUAAAUAAGAUGUAUGUUAAUCAUUUUCCUAUGUCUUUAUCCUAUUACAAAUAGAUUAAAAUUUAGAAUUUUACAAUUUAUCAUAGAUAGUAUUAUUAGUCAUAAUAAAUCAGUAUGGAGUAAUUUUAUUUGAUUUUUUUAUUAUACAAAAUUGAUAACGAAAAGGAUUGAUGUGUACAUUUUUGUAUGUGAAUACAAUUUUCUUUAUAAAAGUGAAAGGUAAGUUCAAGUAAAUUGCGAAGAAUCGAGCUUUAGUGCAAAAAUGGCUAGUCAAUUCAUAAUUUUCGACUCCUUAUUAAGAAUAACCCAUUUUAUUGAAAUAUGUCUGAUCCAUGAGUUUAGGAUUAUUAUUUCUUCUUCUACAUGCUUUAAACCCGAUUCAUAACUUUUUCUUAUAAUCAACCCAUAUCACAUACUAAUUGUAUUAUGUUUUUGUACAUUUUAUCCUAUAUUAUGCAGGUGAGUUUAUGUUAAUUUUAGUACUUUGUUGGAAGUUAUUAGAAAGAUUGAAAGAAAAAAAAAAGAAUAGAUGGAAAAUUAAAAAAAAUUAACAGUAGGAUGCAAAUUGACUAAUUAUGAGAGUUGAGGGGGGAAAUUGACCAAAAUUAAAGUUGAGGGGGAAAAUUGGCCAAUGAUCACAAGUUCAGGGGGAAUUGAUGAAUACCUCUAUAUAAUGGCAAUUUGAUUCGUUUCAUACUGUAGCCAUAUAUAUAAUAGCAUUCGUGAACAGAUUAUUCAAACUUAUCCUUUUAGAUAUAACUUUUAAAAACUACAUCCUUAAAAUCAAACCUAAGGCCAAUCUUUGACAUUUAAUACAUACACCCAAACCCUUCAAAUUUAAGGUCUAAGGCUUUAGUCCAGUUUCUUUCAAACUGUAAGUAUGAAAACACACUUAUAAAGAGGACUUAAAGUAGGGAAAUGGACGAUAUGGGACUGGGAGUCCCACAUAAUCACAAGUUCCAACAUUCCAGUGUCCGGUUCGGGAGAUAAGCACCACAGGCGGCUCGGCUUAGGACUUGGUAUUGCUGGGCUUGCGUUCUUUUGCGUGGCGCUGUUGGUUUUCGGGUAUGUUUCCGUGACGAAAUGGAUGGAGGUGAGAAGACAGAAGAGCUUCAAAGCAGAGGUUGUGGCAAGUCUGAGAGAGUUUAGUUACAAGGAGCUAAAAUAUGCCAAUGAGGGUUUCAUUCCAGUAGGAUUCUAGGGCAUGGAGCUUUCCGGUCUGUUUACAAGGCGUUUUUCGUGUCUAUGGGCACCAUUUCUGCGGUGAAAAGAUCCAAGCAUUCCAUUAAAGGUAAAACUGAAUUCCUUUCUGAGUUGUCGAUUAUUGCUUGCUUGCGCCACAAGAGUUUAGUUCACCUUUAGAGCAGUUCCACCGGAGCAAAAAGAGGCCAACACCUAGUGGAAAAAACAGGCUGGGACUCAGCCAAUCCACUCCAGCCCGUGUGUUUGCCUGGCACCCAGCCCAAGUUGGUCUCCAAGCCAGCCCAGAAUUGACAGACCUUGGGACUGGCCUAGCUAACGCCAGCAUGACAUCAGCCACCUUGGGACUGGCCUGUCUCGUUCCGGGGGGUUCAUGAUUUCGCACACCGCCAACAGCGCUGCGCCCAGUCCAUCCACGAUGCUGGCCGAGGGGAAAUAUUCCAGCUUCAAAGACGGCGCAUUUCUUUCCGUGGUGGUCUCCAGCUUGAACGCUACUGCCUUGUCCUUCAAAAGCUUGCCUCAAAAGUUGAGGGUCUGGACCAAGUCGAGAAUCUGGACCCUCUGGGAGACGAUCUGGUGAGAAGUGAGCAGCUUGGCCACGGAGGGAUAUGACAACGAUGAGGAGAGAGGGGUGGAGAGGCAUCUCUGCGGCUGCUCCAUGAGGAUUUUGAGAGAACAAGAGGAAGGGAGAUCGGAAGGAGCGGUGAGGAAGGGAGGGUUAUAGUGGAACCUGACUUAUCCUUUUUUUUUUUUAAUAAAAUUAUUAUUUUUAUUAUUUUAUAAUAAAAAAUAAUAGAGUAAAUUACAUAGUAGCCCCUCAUGUUUGAGGUCAAUUACAACCCCAUACAACAACUUUAAAACAUUUCACUUUCAUACAUCCAGUACAAUUUUAUUUCAAAAUAAAACCUCUGUUAGAUUUUCCAUCCAUUAGUCUGUUAAAUGCUGACGUGGCUGCCACAUUUGUGCUGAUGAGGUUGCCACGUGGCAAAAAAAAAAAAUUUUUAAUUUUUUUUUAAAAAAUACCUAAAUCUUCUAAAUAAAAAAAUAAAAACCCAGAAUCUGAACAAAACCCCACCCCCGUGAACCCCCCUUAGCCUUCUUCUUCCCUGCUCCCAUCUUCCCCCACCCCAUACCUGCACCUUUGAAGGAAAAAAAAAAACCUGAGAACAACCCAUAUCCCAUAUCCCCGCGAAACCCAUACCCCAUACGACCACCCCCCAACCCAGAUCCCAUUACCACGCCCCCCCCCCCGACGCGAAACCUAACCCAGAUCCCAUUACCAACCCUCCGGCGCGAAACCCAUAUCCCCCCCGAACUGCAAGGACGUCAUCCUCACCCGCAUCAUCUUCGUCGUCGAAGACGACAACGAGCAGGAAUAGCAAGGCGACGAUGAGAAAUCCCGGUCGACGGUGAGAUCGGGUGGUGACGAAGGACCUUCGUGAGGAGCAGAGGGAUCAGAGAGAGAGAGCUCUGCGGUACAGGCCACGAUGCAACGCAUGACCCAAAUUCACCGCCACGGAGACGACCAGAACGUUGAGCCCAUUCCGACCCAACCCCCGACCCUCAUCCCACUCUCCUCACUCUCUCUCUCAAACCCCAAACCCUCCAGAUCCAAAACCCACACAACUCUGCCGGGUCACCACCGCCAACGCCUUCCUCCUCAGCACUUUGACCCUCCUCCCACUCUCCUCACUCUCUCUCUCAAACCCCAAACUCCCCAGAUCCAAAAUCCCCACAUUCUUCUCGCUUUCUAUUCGCCCCAACGCCAAUCCUAUAUCCAUCACUCUCUCUCCUCCUUCUGCUUUCUCACUCAUUUCUCUCCCUCUCUGACUCUCUCUCCGGCAACCCCCCCCCCCCCGGCGAACCCCCCAUAUCCCAUUAACCCCUUCCCCCACCCCCCUCGCGAACCUAGAUCCCAGAUUUGUGCAUUUUUUUUUUUUUUGCUUUUCUUUUCUGGGUUGAGAUCCCAUUAACCCCUUCCCCCACCCCCGCGAACUCAGAUCCACACAGUUCGGUGGUGUUGGGAUUGGGAGUGGGGAUGAAGAUGGUUAAGGGAAUGAUUUUUGGGAGGUGGAAUUUGUGGGAUUGGGUUGCAGGGAAAAGGUGAGGCUCGGGUUGGGGGGAAGGAGGAUUUAACGGGAAUGGGUCGUCGGGGGAGGGGGGGAGGUGGGAUUUGAAGGGAGUGGGUCGUCGGGGGAAUGGGGAUUUAACGGGAGUGGGUCGUCGGGGGAAGGGGGAUUUGACGGGAAUGGUUCGUUGGGGGGUGGGGGGGAGGAGGAGGUUGCUGCGCUAGGUUUCUGGGGGGAUUAAUGGGGAGGUGGGUUUGGGAUUAAUUGGUUUCUGGUUUUGGGGGUUGCGGGUAAAGCUUUCAGGUUUGUUUUUUUUUUUUUUUUUAAAUAUUUAGAAGAUUAGAUUAAAAAAUUAAAAAUUAUUUUUUUGCCACGUGGCAGCCUCAUCAGCACAAAUGUGGCAGCCACGUCAGCAUUUAACAGACUAAUGGAUGGAAAAUCUAACGGAUGUGUUAUUUUGAAAUAAAAUGGUACUGGAUGUAUGAAAGUGAAAUGUUUUAAAGUUGUAUGGGGUUGUAAUUGACCUCAAACCUGAGGGGCUACUAUGUAAUUUACUCAAAAUAAUAAUAGUUUAAUAAAAUUGACUAGGCUAUUUUUUUGUUAGGGUGGAGAUGCUUUGGCCUAUUACUGUUUAUUAGGGUCUAUUACUGUUCAUUUGAGUGGAUAAAUAGACUGGGUGCUGGCACAAAGUCAUUAGGGGUGGACUUGCUCUCAAGGCUGGUGUGUUGACAAGGGUGAAUUGCUUCUUGUUUACGAUUUCAUGCCUAAUGGAAGCCUCGAAAAGGCACUGUACCAAGAACCCGGACAAAGUACCUUGUUAGAUUGGUCUCGGAGACUGAAAGUUGCGGUUGGAUUGGCGUCUGUUUUGACGUAUCUGCAUCCGGAAUGUGAGCAGCAGGUAAUCCACAGGGACAUAAAGACUGUCAAUGUAUUGCUGGACGGGAAUUUAAACGCAAGGUUCAGUGAUUUCGGGUUGGCAAAGCUCAUGGAUCACGAUAAAAGCCAUUGUCUUGGUAGCUAUUGCAUCGGCCUUUUGGCUGGUCCAAUUUUAGGUACUGCUGGACUAAGUUCCAAUAUGCUCAUUGCAGUCCUCUUGCCCCGAAAGCAUCAAUUAAACAACAGCGGAAUGUGCUAAACUCUAUUCAGUUAUAUUGUUAAAGGAGCAAUUUCCCUUCUGCAAAAUGUAAAAUGCCCUCAGUUACCUCCUAUCAAAACCAAAAUACUUGUAAUAACUGGUUUUCGUUUCUCCUUGCAGAUUUCUAAAGUCCAUUUGUGAACGGUUUCUUGAGCAGGCGACACCCUUUCAACUCGAAAUGUAGCUGAAACGAGUACAACUUUUUUCGAUGUAUAGGAUUCCGUCGUAAUUGUUAUCUCAGAUAAUUUGCAGAUUGAUUGUAGUUAAGAAGAGUAACAAGUUCCAUUGGCAGAUAGGCAAUUACCUGAGCUACUCAGCAAAUAUAGCACAUUUUCUACGUGGGUUACAAAAGCAGCUCACCACAAAUAUAUACAAAUUUAACUACAACGGGAUGGUCCAAUGGUUGGGAACGAGUUUUAGACUCGUAUUCUACACAACACGUCCCGAGUUUGAUUUCUGGCGUUGGUGAAUCACAUGAUGGUGACCAAGGAAGGCUAAAAUGCUUUUGAGUCUUUCCAACCCUCAAAAUGGUGGACUACCAUGGCGAAGCCACUGGCAUUCUAGAAAGUGGUGCCAAAAAGCCAUGCUCUCUUCAACCAUUGUGUUUGUAGAGAAACAUAUGAGUAUAUACACCUACCUCAAGAUGACAGAGGCAUUGAAAGAUGAGUAAGCAUUCCGCCAUAUGGAACCACAGCAGUACAUAUGAGAGAAAAAAAAUACAUCAUCAAGGAGUUACUUGCAUCCCAUGCAGGGGUAAUCAUAUAUGCGAGAGAUUGCCGCCGCACCAAUCAACUACUAGUAAUAUGCAAGCUAAAACCGGUUGUUAUUAUAUUUGAUGAUACCGUCCUGAAAUUCAAAGAAACACGUAAAUGUUAGGGGAGAAAUUAAAAAUAAGAGAGAGAAGAAAGGGUAGCAUAGUUAAUCGGUACAGUUCAUUAGUUUUCUCUCUGGGCAGAUGAAGUCCCACAUACAUUCAAUCUUUAUAUAGAUGUUGACAAGAGCUGAGGUCUGCAGGUCCCUGUUCAAAGUCCAUUUCUGUCCAAAGACUUCAAACUUGACAGUCCAGAAAACCAGAGCACCAUUUGAUAAUCCUAUCUUUACAGCUUUACUCUGUUUGUUCGCUGCAUCAAUGAAACCGAUAUACCUGCUAGUACCAUCAAAUUGUCCUGACUUAGGAUAUAGUUGAAUUGAACUGUCAAAGAAAAAGACUGAUAUAUAAAAUGCAAUGUAGACAAAGCAAACUGAAGAUAGAAAAAGUGAGAGAGAGUAAAUUACAAUUUACAGCUGAUCUGCAAUGUUCCACCGGUGAAAUCCUCCUUAAUAUAUAUGCAAUCUAGUAAUGCAACGUACGUACUGGCAUUCAAGCAAGUACAGCCAUGAGGCACUCUUCAACUGUUGUGUAAGUAGCGAGAAACAUAUCUCCAGUGGACCUACCUGAAGAUUACAGUUACAGUGAAAGAUGAGAAAGUUAUGCCUCAAAUGAGACAAGCAUGAGAAAACCCUCACAUGCAGGAGAAUCAUAUAUAUCAGACUACAAAGAAGUCACUCCCCUCGCAUUCUCCUGUAAUUUCAUCGGAAUUAGACUCUGAAACUUGAAUUUAAGUAGGAAUAUUGUUGCUAAGGACAAUCAAUUUAAUCGUACCCAAUCAAUUUAAUAAUAAAUAAAAAAUUACCUGGCUUUUGUCUUGAGAGUUGAGAGUUGAGAUUUGGAGAGAGUGAAAUGAAGGCUCAUAUGAUGAUGACUUCUCCAUCGAUCUUUAUGCAAGGAAUGCGAGCUAUGUUUCUCCAAUCUUUUCCCUUCUUGGUCUCAUACCUCUUCUUCAGAGAAGGAAAAUUCUCAAUGCUCAGAUAAGAGAUGCCGGAAAACCCUCUUUUGGCAGCAAUUCGAGACUCUUACACCCUACAUUUCUGGCUGUUGAAGAGAAGUGAGGUGCUCAAGUCCCUUUCUGUCCAAAGAUUUCAGAUUCCAUACAUAAGAGAUCCAGAGAGUGUGAAGAGUGGCAGGGAGCAGGUGUUCAUUGAGCAAAAUCUCCAGCAGAUCCUUGUUUCCUUCGCUCCGAAAUUAAUUGGCUCCUGUAGGAAGAUUUCGUAUUAACCACCCAACAUCAAAUGUACUUAAAAGUAGUCAUUACAGAACAAAGCACACUAUGGUUCAUGAGCAAACUGAAAAGUAAUCAUUACAACUUAUGACUAUUACUAAGAUUAAAGUUUUUUAGGGUGUCAAAGAUUCACCUCAUCAAAAUCUUGUCGGAGAUUUCAACCCAGUUGAAGAAAAAAGAGUACAACACACCAACAAAUUACAAGUUAUGACUAUCUAGCUUGUAUUAAUUAAAACAUCCAAAAAAUGUCCAGGUGAGUCUUCAAACUAUAGCAACUCUUAAUAUCAUGCAAGUCUAUGUGCAACAUUUUUGGGCCUCUCAUCUCACAUAAUAUUGGAGCAAACGCAGAAUAAUCCUUCUCCUUUUGCAACAGUCCUGCCAAAGAUAGAGUGGAAUUACUCUCCACUUCCACAGCAGCAGCCCCCGAAUCAGCCGCCAUCGGCAGCCAACAACGUAGUGUUCUGGCCUAAAACGUACGUGGUAGAGAAAAAUGAACCCCCGCAUGCACUUGGCUGUACAGGCAGCAACAAUGUGUGUAGCUGCAUGCGAAUCAGAAAAACAAAUACCAUAUAAUAAGAGAAACAAUGAAUGGACCCCUUAGCGACUGGGAAAUCCAGCUAUGGGCGAUAACAUACAUGAAACACUACCAUGGUUGAGUUGCUACUUACCAAGAAGGCUUCCAAAUUUGCGAGCCCGCUGGGCCAACUUUCACCAUCAAACUUGGGUUAAGGCGUAUUAUCGUCCAUUUCUCCAUGGCAUCUUCCUCUUGAGCGGUUAACGAAUCAAACGAUUGCCUGGAUAUAUAGUGAGCAAUUCUGCAAUGUUCAAACCUCCGAGUCCAGAUGCAACUUUGAAUAUUCUCUUGAUUGCUCAUGAAAUCCACAAUGGUGAGAAGAAUGCUAUAACCUCUCAGUUCCUUUGGAUCACUUCCAGGAGAUAAGAUGUUCAUUGGCGGCAACAAUAGGCACAAUUUCAUUUAACGUAUGUGAUAUAUAUAUAUCUCUUUAAGGAUAGUAUGUGGAUGCAGAGUUUUGAUGAAAAUGUAGGAAAAGAACGCAGAGCUUUACCUUCACAUGCUUUGUACCAUUUCAUUAUAAAUCGAACUGUGAAAGCAAGUUUUCUCUCAAAUCCAUUUCAAUAGGAUGCCAACUCAACUGCUUUCCUUUUUCAUACCUCAGCUUAACAAGAUACUCCUAAAUUCAAAGAUGAAGAAAUUAUUAUUGAUACAUUUAUCUUAGAAAACAAGCGAAUGGAACUUAAAACAAAAGAGAGUGGUGGAACGCUCAAUUACCGCUCAUCCGCAGUGCUCAACGUAAGAAUUACCAUUCUUGUGAAAUCCGUUGCACACCAGCCAACCACUUAUUCAAGUAAUAUCAUUUACUGGAAUAGCAACAAACACAAGCAUGACAACACUGCUACAAGGAACAAGAGCGCUGUUCAACCACUGUAUGUAUAAAAGCAUAUCUGCACCCAGAGUUGCCAUCUGCAUCAAUAAAGCCGACAAAUACGUUAGUCCCAUCGUGUUGUCCUUACUGAUUGCAUAGUUGAAUUACAUUGAUACAUAAAGGAAGAACAAAUUACACUCGAAGUGUUCAACUACUUACACUUAAAUCCGUAGGCGCAGCAGCCAGCCACCAAGUCUAGUCACAUGGGCAUUCUAGCAAGCGGUGCCAAUAAGCCAAGCUCUCUCCAACCAUUGUGUUUGUAGAGAAACAUAUGUGUAUGCACCUACCAAAAGAUGACAGAAGCGUUGAAAGAUGAGUAAGCAUUCCGCCGUAUGGAAACCACAGAAGUAUACAUAUACACAAGUACCUGAGUGGUUGAAGUAAGCUAACAUCGUUUCCCCCCGUGAUAAUCCUAUCUUUACAGUUCAAUAGUUUUCUCUCUGGACCGACGAAGUCCCACAUACAUUCAAUCUUUAUAUAGCUAUUCAAGAGAGCUAAGGUCUAGAGGUCCCUGUCCUGGAAGGAAUUGCGUGCGUGGGAGGCGUUGAAAGUCCAUUUCCACCCGAAAUAUUUCAUACUUUACAGUCCAGAAAAUCAGAGCCCCAUUUGAUAAUCCUAGCUUUACAGGUUCGCUUGCUCGCUGUGUCAAUGAAACCGAUAUAUCAGAAGAUUAGAGUCAUGUCGCAAACGAGAUAAGUAUGAGAAAAGCAUCAUCCAGGGUUUUACCUCUUGUCAUGCAGGAGAAUCAUAUAUAUCGACCUCUCCUGUAAUUUCACUCCCCUCGCAUUUGGCUGCACAGUCCUGCCAACAACAACUUCAACGCAGAAUAAUGCUUCUCCCUUUGCUACAGUCCUGCCAAAGAUAGAGUGGAAUUAUAUCCACUUCCAUAGCAGCAGCCUCCAAAUCAACCGCCAUCGGCAGCCAACGACGUAGUGUCAUGGCCUAAAAUGUACGUGGUAGAGAAAAAUGAACCCCCGUGUGCGCACUUGGCUGCACAGGCAGCAACAAAGUGUGUGGCUGCAUAUGAAUCAGAAAAAAAAUGAAAGGACCCCUUAGCGACUGGGAAAUCCUGCUAUGUGCUAUCAUGUACAUGAAGCACUACCAUGGUUGAGUUACUACUUACCAAGAAGGUUUCUAAAUUUGAGAGCCCGCUGCUCCAACUUUCACCAUCAAACUUGGGUUAAGGCUUAUCAUCAUCUAUUUCUCCACGGCAUUUUCCUCUAGAGCAGUUAACGAAUCAAAUGAUUACCUGCAUAUAUAGUGAGCAAAUCUGCAAUGUUAAGGCUAGCCGACAUUCACCUCUCCCAGACCCUGCGUAAAGCGGGAGCCUUGUGCACUGGGUACGACCGUUUGUUAACUUGCUACAUCACACACACUAAUAUAUAGAAAACAAACCUCCAAGUCCAGAUGCAACUUUGAAUAUUCUCUUGAUUGCUCAUGAAAUCCACAAUGGUGAGAAGAAUGCUAAUAUAUAGCAAACAAGCCGACAAAUACGUUAGCGUGUUGUCCUGACUGAUUGCAUGGUUGAAUUACAUUGAUCCAUAAAGGAAGAACAAAUUACACUCAAGUGUUCAACUACUUACACUGAAAUCUGUAGGCGCAGCAGCUAGCCACCAAGUCUAUUUACGCUGGCAUUCUAGCAAGCGGUGCCAAUAAGCCCUGCUCUCUUCAUCCAUGGUGUUUGUAGACAAAAAUAUGUGUAUGCAGCUACCACAAGAUGACAGAGGCAUUGAAAGAUGAGUAAGCAUUCCGCCAUAUGGAAACCGCAGCAGUAUAUAUAUACACAAGUACCUGAGUGGUUGAUGUAAGCUAACAUCGUUUUCCCUCUGAUAAUCCUAUCUUCACAGUUGAAUAGUUUUCUCUCUGGACCGACGAAGUCCCACAUACAUUCAAUCUUUAUAUAGCUGUUCAAGAGAGCUGAGGUCUAGAGGUCCCUGUCCUGGAAGGAAUUGCGAGAGUGGGAGGUGUUGAAAGUCCAUUUCCAUCCAAAAUAUUUCAAAAUUGACGGUCCAGAAAUCGGAGCACCAUUUGAUAAUCCCAUCUUUACAGGUUUGCUUGCUCGCUGCAUCAAUUAAACCGAUAUAUCUGUUAGUCCCAUCACAUCUACCAGAACAUUACAGUUAUGGUGCAAACGGACUACAAAAAAUUCUUGUACAAUCAGGAGUACUAAAUCAAAAUCCCAAACAGAGUUUUAAUCCAAACCAAAACUGGAUUACUCUUAUAAACAAAUUGAGACCUUAUCACUUUAUUCUAAUCUGAAAUAACUGAACCGUGUGAAUCAUAAUCACACUCUAACAGAAAGUGUUUCAAAUGCAUUAAAUAGGUCAAUACAAAGAGUACCACUUGUUGACAUUACUGAGAUUCCAAACCCUCCUGCAUCAGUUUCUAAAGCUGAACCAUAUGCAGAUAGACUUAGUCUAGAUUCCGUGAACACUGAAUUCAGCUUAACAGGCACUCAUAAGAGCUUCAAACAGAGGCUUGGAAUCCAAAACAGAAGCAAGAGAAGAUAUAACAAUAAGGAGAACCUGAGCAUGUCACAAGGAACAAACGAUAUUAAGGGGACCACUAGAUCACUUCAUAAAAGGUUCAGUAAACUAAAAUUAUCUGGGAAAACCAGUUUGAGAAAAGGUGGUUCAAGUUUAUCAGAGCAGGAGCCGAAGCAUAACAAUAUUGUGUCCAGCAUGACUUCUUUCAUUCCACUUGUUCAACAGAAACACGCAGCUGCAGUUGUAACAGGUAAUUUCUUACUAGUAAUCUUAACCUUUGAACUUUGGAUUUUGCAUUACAUGUACAUAUUCCAUAUGAUUGUUUUUCUGAGUGUGGAUCAUAAUUGUACGUCUAAACUGGGUUACAGUAUGGAUGAUGGUUUUAUUUUUACUGAAUUAGGGAAUGUUUUAUUUGGAGUAGUAAAUUAGCAAUGAAUGUCUGGGAUCAUCAAGUAAAAUUUAGAGUGCAUAUUUGAAAGUCCCAUGAAAGCUGAGUUGCCCCAUUGUCCUCCAUAAGUAUGUUAUAGGUGACUUCAUCUUGUCAUACGGAGCUUGACAGUGAUUCAUUUGUUUUUUUAUUGUAUCCUUGUGAAUUCUUGUGAGUAUUCUGGGAUAUUUUUCUUUGUUUCUUUUUUUCUCUCCAAUGACUUGAUUCAGUAUUUUGACCUAUUUGUGUUUUCUUGCAGGGAAGAGGGACGUCAAAGUGAAGGCCCUGGAGGCAGCUGAAGCUGCAAAGCGUCAGGCAGAAAAGAAAGAGAAUGAACGCAAGAUGAAGAAGGAAGCCUUGAAACUUGAGCGGUCAAGAAUGGAGCAGGAGAAUAUGAAGCAGUUGGAGUUGCAGAAGAAAAGGAAAGAAGAAGAGAGGAAGAAAAAAGAGGCAGAUAUGGCAUCAAAUAAGAGACAAAGGGAAGAGGAAGAAAGGAAGGAGAAGGAAAGAAAAAGAAUGCGUAUUGAAGCACGUAGAAACAAGAGAGAACAUGAAGACAAGUUACCUGCAGAAAAGGUAGAGAAAGAAAUGAAAACCCUGGCCAUUGUAUGAUUCUUUAUGGUCUGCCUCAUUUCAUUAUAUCUAUCUUUUUGCAAUGUUAGAUAUCACUUGUAUAUUGGGCUGUCUUGUGUAGGAUGGAAGAGGCCCUGGGGGUAAGGAAUCUAAGGAUGAAAUGGCAAAUAAGAAAAUGGAGGAAGAAAGGGGAUAUGACAAUAACAUAAAUAUUUCGGAGACUAAGCCUAGUACUUCCAGGAUUUCAAUAAGCAAUGCUGGAAAAGAAAGUAUUGUCCACGAAGAGUUCCACGAGGCUUCUAGUAAUUAUGGAUAUAAAGCAGAGGUAAAUGCAAAUGAUUUUUUAACAACCAAUACCCACCAUAUCUUAGGAUCUACUUGCAUAUAUUGAGUGCUUUCACUUGUGUAGGCUGGAGCAUGAUGAUAAUCCUCUGUUAAUGGAGUUUGAAAGUCCAGAUGCAACUUUGAAUAUUCUCUUGAUUGCUCAUGAAAUCCACAAUGGUGAGAAGAAUGCUAAUAUAUAGAAAACAAGCCAACAAAUACGCUAGUCCCAUCGUGUUGUCCUGACUGAUUGCAUAGUUGAAUUACAUUGAUCCAUAAAGGAAGAACAAAUUACACUCAAGUGUUCAACUACUUACACUGAAAUCUGUAGGCGCAGCAGCCAGCCACCAAGUCUAUUUACACUGGCAUUCUAGCAAGCGGUGCCAAUAAGCCCUGCUCUCUUCAUCCAUGGUGUUUGUGGACAAAAAUAUGUGUAUGCAGCUACCACAAGAUGACAGAGGCAUUGAAAGAUGAGUAAGCAUUCCGCCAUAUGGAAACCGCAGCAGUAUAUAUAUACAAAAGUACCUGAGUGGUUGAUGUAAGCUAACAUCGUUUUCCCUCUGAUAAUCCUAUCUUCACAGUUCAAUAGUUUUCUCUCUGGACCGAUGAAGUCCCAUAUACAUUCAAUCUAUAGCUGUUCAAUAGAGCUGAGGUCUAGAGGUCCCUGUACUGGAAGGAAUUGCGAGAGUGGGAGGUGUUGAAAGUCCAUUUCCAUCCAAAAUAUUUAAAAAUUGACGGUCCAGAAAAUCAGAGCACCAUUUGAUAAUCCCAUCUUUACAGUUUUGCUUGCUCGCUGCAUCAAUUAAACCGAUAAAUCUGUUAGUCCCAUCACAUGUACCAGAAGAUUACAGUUAUGGUGCAAACGGGAGAAGUAUGAGAAAUCAUCCAGGGAUUUACCUCUUCUCUUGCAGGAGAAUCAUAUAUAUUGACCCCAAGUAGUUCCACAGUAUCAGACUACAAAAAAUUCACUCCCCUUGCACUCUCCUGUAAUUUCAUUGGAAUUGGACUCUGAAACUCUAAUUUAAGCUGGAAUAUUGCUGAGGACAAUCAAUUUAAUAAUAAAUAAAAAAAGUACCUGGCUUUUGUCUUGAGAGUUGAGAGUUGAGAGUUGGAGAGAGUGAAAUGAAAGCUCAUAUGAUGGUGAUUUCAUCAUCUACGUUUAUGCAAGGAAUGCGAGCUAUGUUUCUCCAAUCUUUUCCCUUCUUGUUCCCAUACCUCCUCUUCAGAGAAGGACAACCCCGGAUCUUCAGAUAAGAAAGAGAUGCCGGCAAACCCUCUUUUGGCAGGAAUUUGAGACUCUCGCAGCCUGAAAUUUGUAACUGUUGAAGAGAAGUGAGGUGCUCAAGUCCCUUUCCGUCCAAAGAUUUCAGAUUCGAUACAUCAGAGAUUUCGAGAGUGUGAAGAGUGGCAGGGAGCAGCUGUUCAUUGAGCAACGUCUCCACCAGAUCCCAGUUAACGAUAGAUAAUGUUUGUAGAUUGGGAGGCAAACCCCCUUGUGCAAAUGACACCACAUUUGGAAGACACUCUAUCGACAAAUGUUGAAGGGCGGUGAGGGUGUGCAUUCGGUCCGGCAACAACUUCAAAUUCACGCAAUGGUCUACUGAAAAGUAAGUCAGGUUGGGAGUGGGCAAUCCUCCGUCAGGAAAAGAGACAAGAUUUGGAAGACUGCCUAUCAAUAACCUUUGAAGGGCGGUGAGGGUGUGCAUUCGGUCCGGCAACAACUUCAAAUUCUCGCAGUUGUAGACAUGAAAGAAAGUGAGGUUGGCAGUGGGCAAUCCCCCGUCGGGAAAAGAGACAAGAUUUCGACAUAUCUGGAUAUCCAGGUAGUUGAGAUGGCGGAGAUUUUCAUCUGCUCCUCCUUCAACUGAAAGAGAUUCCAGAUUCUGACAACGCAUUAUACGAAGAGAUGAAAGGUUGGGGAAAAUGCCCAAAGGGAACGACCUCAUCUCACCUGAUAGAAAUUCUAAUUUCUUGCAAUUUACUAUACGGAGUGACGUCAGCGUGGUGGGCAGACCAUUUGUAGGGAACGACAAGAGUGAGCAACAUUCAUAUAAUGUCAAACUUUGAAGAUGAUUGCUGUUGUGCACCAUUUGCGGCAACCACUCUCUCCCACCAUCAUCGUAAAUAUCAAGACUCUGAAGCGACGGCAGCGUCUCCGUCGACUCGAGUAACAAUGAGAGACCCGGACAUCCCUUUAUUGUCAGUUGUUCAAGAGAUCGUCGUAAGGAUUCCGUGUUCAGAGUAUUACUGGCCCUGUUUUCAUGUAGAACCUUACAUCCAUCGACCCAAAGGAUUUUCAAGGAAGGAAGAUGAGUGGGCAAGCUUCCUCUCAGCUUCGGACAUUGGCGUAACCUCAGCUCCUUAAGACGAGGAAAGCCUGGACUUUCACCUCCACUUGGACUUGGCUGCCAUUCUUCCCACUCUGGCAUCUCCCGAAACUCUAGCUUCUCUAAACAUUGAAAUGGUUGAUUUCCCCCGUACAACUCAACACCAACACUCUUAACAACUUUCAUCCUUUCUACGUAGAGCUCUUUCAGAGCAGGUAGCUGACCAACUAGUGGCAAUGAACUGCAAUUACUACAGUCAUUGAGACGCAUCACUUGUAAGUUGGAGAAGGACGAGUCUCCCACCCAAUUCGGGAAACUGAUUCCGCCAUAACACCUGACGGUUAGUUUCACCAAAUUUACCGAAGGCUGUAGUCUUUCGAGUACAUGUCUCUCUUUUACAAAAUCAUCGGAAACUUCAGGACCCCAUGCCAACUCUACCUCUUUGAGAUCUUUCUUAUCCUUCAACAACGCAUCAAUAGCACCGACUACAUUUUGCAGAUUCAAGAUGGAAAUUUUUCCUCCAAGGUGCGACAACUCCCUCAGUUCUCCAAUAUUGGACCCAGUAGAUUUCCCCAGCACAAAAGCUGUCAGUGUUCUCAAACUUUUUAGUCUACCCAUAUGCACCGGCAUCUCUUUUAUUUUAGUUCCACCAAUAUCAAGAUGACGCAAAUGAAUCAAUUUCCUCAUGUCUGCAGGCAAUUCAACAAGAGAAGAACAACCUAACAACAAUAGAGUUUGUAAAUUGUAGAGAGUACACACUCUAUCUGAUAACCUUUUAAUUGCCGUAUAAGAGAGAUCAAUGUAGCGCAAGUGCAUGUGGUUACCAAUGGAAUCAGGUAAGUGAGUGAUAUUCAUAUAUCUUGAUAAUGAAAUUGCCCGUAAACAUUUUUGUGCUGGCAAUAAAUCAUCUAGAAUCUUAUUGCUUACAUAUCCACCAUUCCAACUAUAAUGUGGUGGUAAAGACACUGGAAAGAAGGUACGCAAACACUUAACUCCUUUUAAUGGCUCAAAUAUUGGAGAUGUAUCAAAUUUUCCUCUCAUAUAUGACAAGUGGCGAACUUUUUUAGAAACUUCGUGCGAAUUUUUUUGAUCCAACCUCAAACAAAACUCUCCAGACACAAACAUAGCCAAGUCAUUAAUAAGAUCAUGCAUAGUGAAACUUGGUUUAUCCAAUCUUGGUCUUUGAAAUAGUGAACGCGAUAACAGUUCAUUAAAGUACCUUUCACCAACCUCCUCCAUUGCUUUCUUGCUCUCUAAUUGUGGAAUUAAACCUUCUGCCACCCAUAGUAGAAUAACAUUUUUCUUUUCAAACUCAUAGUCCUUUGGAAAGAUUGAGCAAUAAGCAAAGCAUCGUUUCAAGUAAGCCGGAAGAUAGUGGUAACUCAAUCUUAGAGAAGGAAGAAGACUAUUAGGGUGUGGCAGAUCCCAAAGAUUACUAUCCAAUAUGUGAUUCCACUCCUUGUAGUCUAGGUUGCAACUUAAGAGACCCCCUAGCGUUUUUGCGGCUAGAGGUAAACCGUUGCACUUACGUGCAAUUUGCUUACCAAUUUCAACCAAGUCUGGAUGUGCACCGGGGUUUUCAUUUCUAAAUGCAUGUUUUUCCAGUAACGACCAGCAGUCUUCAUCCAACAAUUCUUUUAAAUCGUGAAUAGGAAUAGUAUUGUGCACGAUGGCUGCAACACGCCUGCUCCUUGUUGUUACAAUGACCUUACUUCCCCUUGCCCCAUACGUGAAAAGAAUUCGUAGACGCUCCCAGUCAUCAUAGUUUUCAUUCCAAAGGUCAUCCAAGACAAGUAAAAAUCUCUUUCCACUCAGUUGUUCCCUUAGUUGAACUUCAAGGGAAUUCAUCUCCAAAUUUUCACAAGGCUUUUUAGUGAUUUCCUGAAUAAGGGCCUUAAUAACCCUCAAAGCCUCAUACUGUUCGGAAACACAAACCCAAGCAUGAAUGUCAAAGUGCUUUUUAACUCGUUCAUCGUUGAAAAGGAGUUGAGCAAGAGUUGUCUUACCAACCCCGCCCAUACCGACUAUAGGGACUACAGAAAAAUUACUGCUACUUUCAUUGUCAGAUAACAGCAGUAGAUCUUUUAACUUGUCUUUAUCUCCAUCCCUACCAUAGGUAUAAAAUCCGCCCUCAACAACAGAAGUUGUGGGAGUUCUUUGUGAAACAUUGCCUCCAACAACAUCUUCUCUAAGACGGAGGAUAUCUUUUUGAUUUGCAAGGUGUUCCAACUUCUUGAAUAAAACUUCUAUCCUACCAUUCAUGCCUUUAUAAUUAAAAGGUUUACGACAGGUAGAAAGGAAGUUCCACACCUGGGUUUUCUUAGUCUGAUCUUUCGCCUUGCGACGCGAAACUUCAGUAUCGAUCUCAUCCACCAAGUCCUCGGCCUCGAACACAGCAUGUUUGAGCUCAUCAAGCCACUUCCCGACGUCAGGGUCGACAAUCUGCUUCUCCUCAGCGUCGUUGAGCACUGCACGGAGAUUCACCAACUUCAUCUUCAGUGUGUCCAGGAGUGAAUAGUCGAGUCUUCCUGCCCGGAAGAAGUCUAUGAACUCUCCGGAGGCAAUCUUGUCGCACAGCAACUGGAUGGAACCGGAGAGCAAAGCCUCUCCAACGAAAGCCAUUUUCUCGUCUUGGCAAAAGGACUAAUUUUGAUCAAGUAUUUGGAGUUGACAAACUGAAAAUUAUUCUUGGCAAAGCCUGUAAGAUUACUUCAUGACUGGUGAGACGACUUGAUCUUUUUCUUGGUCAAUAAUGCAGUGGACCACACACGGCAAACAUAAAGUAUAAAGUGGUGGAAGUUGGGAAACGUUUCCAUCCAACAUUAAUUUAUUAAUUAUUUUCUUCCAUAAAAUAAUCGUUGUUGGUCAUGAACAUUGGUGGAGGUUGGAAAACAUUACAUCAACCAUUAAUUUAUUUAUUAUUUUCAAUGUGUCUAAAACAUUAACCGGUAUAUCAAGUAUAAUAAUACAAUUGAUCGAAAUUUUUUUUUUCAAGUUUCUAAUUCAAUUGUCUUAGUACACUUGGCAUAACAAGCCGUGUUCCUGACAUAUUGAUUAAUCUCCCCACACAUCAAGAGGCCUAAAAUAUAUCAAUCUUCUUACCCUUAGUAUAACGGUUAUAAUUAUUAUAAUUUAAAAAUGAUCCUCUUACUUGUAACCGUUAGAUGUGUUAGUGAGAAGGAUCUGCCCCUUACGCUCCGACCACACACGUCAAACAUAGAGUAGUAAUUGGUGGAGUUUGGAAAAACACAGUAAAAAGAGGGGUGUGCUAUCCACAUCUCUUUUUAUUUUUUCCACUCCUUGUUAAUUUUUGUAAUUUGAUAUUCUUUAAUUCAUCUGAUCCGACGGUGAAAAAUUAAAAAAAUAAGAAAAAUAAAAAAUAAUAUGUGGAUAUCACAUCCCUAAAAAGAAUCACGCAAUACAUUUGGAUCUCAACAUUUUUCCGUAUGAUAAGAUCACAUGUUCCCACCAUCGUCUUGUAACCAUCGUCUUGUCACCAUCUUGUCAUUAUUUCUACUCUGGUUCUAAUUCCAAGGGGAACAUCUUCGUGUGAAAAAUAAAGUAAAAGUUUCUGGCAGGACCUCAAUGUUGGGUUGAAUUUCUACAAUUAUUAUUUACAUUUUAUACUUUUAAUCUCAACCACUAUUAUACUUUUAAUCUCAACCACUUAUUUUCUACAACAUUCAUUAUCAUGUGCUAUGGGGAAAAAAAAAAUAAAAAUAAAAACUUGAAAAGUUUCUUGCUUUUUCUUGCUUUGCCUAUAUUUUCAACAUUAAUGGGACCAUUCGUGUUUACGAUUUGGUUUGCCUAUUCAUUCAACGUUCAUGGGACCAUUCUGCUUUGCCUAUAUUUUCUUGCGUUAACCAAUUUUGACUCAAAGUUAACAUGUUUUUGCACAAAACUAAUUAAGAACACACUCGAGUUCCAUACCUUAUAUUGUCAAAUUAUCGAAUUUGAUGCCGCAUAAUUAUACAAAAGUGCAUUUAGAUUAACAGUGCACUUCCUCUUUUACAUCUAAAUUUGAACCUCCAUUUUUAUCGCUAUAAUUUAUACGAGUUUAAUAUAAAUUAUCUUAUCAUUUAUUAAAAACCCCACUUCAUAAAUAAGUAGAUGCGAUAUGUUUAAAUGCAAAUCUGUAACAAAAACAAUGGAAAAGAAUAAGUACAGAUGUUUAUGGAUAGCAAAGGUCUCGAAAACAUAUAUACUCCACAAAAUCUAGCACGAGAGUAUUGAGCCUAGAUAAUAUAACCUCCUCCCCAAUACUAAUUUAUAGCUGAUUUAUUUUGUGGUUUAGCUAAAAUCACCAAUUCUCAUUAUCAUUGUACAAAUAAAUAAAUAAAGAGUAAAUAGUAGCAAUAGUUUCUUUAACUUUAAUCAAAUUGGUUAAAGUUAAGGGACUAUUGCUCCAAUUGAGUUAAAAUUAAAAGAUUAUUUCUCCAAUUGGAUUAAAGUUAAGAGAUCAAUGUUAAUGAAUUUUUAGUUGAGGGACCGCACGUUUUGAUGGGUUAAGGAACUAAUGAUAAUAGAUUUGUAGUUGAUGGACUAUUGCUCCAAUUAAGUUAAAGUUAAGGGAUCAUUGCUACAAUUUAUUCAUAAAUUAAACAAAGGUAAGAAGAGAUAUGAAAUAUUGCAGAAGAAUUGUUAUUGACACUCCAAAAAAAUCAUUAUGCAUUUGUGUAACAAAGUUAUCAAGGAUGGAUUGAGUGCACGAUGACUUUCUUUUGCUAAUAACAAAUUCCUAAAGUGGAUCACAUUAUUAAUAUUGCUUUUGGAAAGAAUUUCUGUUAUCUGCAUCUUCUACAUAUAUAAAGUCAAAAGGGAAAACAGGUGAAACAUUUAAUAUUUCAAAAUUGCCCCUUUUAUUACAGGUUAUAUAAGAGUAAAAAUGUAAGGACAUGAUGGUAAAACCAGGCAAAGGAGAGAAAGUGGAGGAAAAAACUAGAACAUGCUUACAGAAAGAAACUAUAUUUGAAGCAUCCGUUUGGUUGCCCAGCCCACAAAAAAAAUAAAAUAAAAUAAAAAUCCCACAAUUAAAUCUACAAACAACGGAAAUGUGACACUGAUGUUAGCAAACUUUUAUGGUCUUCAAUCUCGAUAAUUUAUGUGCACAUUGGAAUCCAUACUUCAUACUUCACUUGUUUUUGUUGAUCUCUUGUGAUAGGAUACUGUGUGAUAACUGAAUUGGUUGAUAAGUAAGCAUUGUAUUAGUGCUGACUAGGACAGAUAUGUAUGGUUAAAAAGGAUAAGGUUGUUAGUAGUAAGCUUACGGAGGAAGCUAACUAGCUACUAUAUUAGAAAGGAUUGUAAACGGAAGGGUCGUUGUUGUAAUUGUUGUUAAUUGUAAUAGAAAGUUACUUGUUACUGCUACAUAGAAGUCAAGAUGCAGAGUUAGGGUUCUAUCAUUGGUAUCACCGCCAGUGCAUUCGAUCCGGCUUGAUCCUUCUUCGUGUAUGACUCGGCUCGGUUCCAGACGCACCAUGGAAACGAGAGUAUCUCAGCUUGAGUCCCUAUUUGCUGAUUUCCAGAAGGAGUUCAAAGAUUCCAGGCAUGAAUUUCAAGAAUCAAGAACUGAAUUUCGAAAUGCCCAUGAGCUGAUUUUGCAGCAAUUGCAGGUGUUAUCGACGAGAGGUAGUGGGUUGAUGGGCGAAUCGUCGGAAGGGACACAUUCUGAUCACAAUUUACCGCCGGGAGUGAAUCCUCAGUUUGUUCGUCAAGAAUCGAUUCCGUCGCCUCGACAACCAUUUAUCAAGAUCGAUUUUCCCAGAUUUAGUGACGGCGAUGACCCCUUGGGGUGGAUCUACAAAGCAGAGCACUAUUUUGAUUUCUUCGGUGUCGAGGAUUUCAAGAAAGUAAAGAUGGCAUCAUUCCAUCUGGAUGGCGAACCUCUACAAUGGUUCCAAUGGGCUAAUUGUAUCCGGACAUACCCUAGGUGGGAAGAUUUCACUCAAGCUCUUUGUCAAGAAUUUGGUCCGUCGGAGUUCGACGAUUCGGCAGAAAGCUUGGUUAAACUUCGCCAAACGGGAUCUCUGCGUGAUUACAUCUUGGAGUUUCGAAGAUUGGCGAAUCGUACAAGGGAAGUUACCCCAUCUCUCUUGCGAUCUUGUUUCAUUGGUGGUCUUAAAUCGGAGCUGCGUCAUGAUGUCAAAAUCCUAAAGCCCAGAGACGUUCUGGAGGCCACUGCUUAUGCUCAACAGAUCGAUGCCAAGUUGUCUGAAUUAAAGGUCAAGUCUUUUCCUCGUUCAUCUGUUAAUUCUUCGUUUCGUCCUCCAUUACAGAAUGUUGCUGAUACUGUUGUGGGAAAUAACAAAUUCAAACAUGAAAAUGUGAGGCGAUUGACACCUGAAGAGGUCGAAUACUGUCGGAAACAUGGUCUUUGCUUCCAUUGUAAGGAAAAAUUUGUUCGCGGCCACACUUGUGAGAAGAAACAACUUUUAUUGAUUGAUGUUCAGUAUGGUAGUGAUAAUGAAGCCUCUGACAUUGAAAAUUUGGAACCUGAGAUUACAGCAUGUGCCCUUUUUGGUACCCCAGCUCCUAAGUCAAUUAAAACCAUGAAGGUUCUUGGUAGUAUUAGGAAUUGUCCGGUGGUAAUACUUAUCGAUUCUGGUAGUUCCCAUAACUUCGUGGAUUCUGUGUUGGUCAAGAAAAUCAAUGGACAAUUGAAUACAGAUCAUUCUUUUAGUGUCAAGAUUGCGGAUGGGGGCCAAGUCAAGACUACAGGUUCUUUAGGGGCUGUUUCACUCAAGAUUCAACAAGAAUCUACUAUAUUAGAAAGGAUUGUAAACGGAAGGGUCGUUGUUGUAAUUGUUGUUAAUUGUAAUAGAAAGUUACUUGUUACUGCUACAUAGAAGUCAAGAUGCAGAGUUAGGGUUCUAUCAUCUUGGCACAUCUAUACUAAAUUGUUUGGUGUUAGUCGGUUUGUUUGAUUCAUAUUUCAAUUUUGUAAGUAGCCAGAGUAUCUUAGGAAAUGAAAAUAUCAAAAAUAAAAUAAACAUUUGUAAAUAGUGUCAAGCGCAUGUAGUUAUAAAUUUGUAAGUCACACGUAGCAUGCCUGAUUAAAGGCCUUUAAUCCAUGUCCCAUUGUUAGCACGCCUGAUUAAAUGCCUCUAAUCCAUGUACCAAUUGUUAACAAUGAUAAACAACUAAUGCAACAUAUUUUAGGGGUGGGUAACGCCUGUGAUUAAAAAACCUUACGCGCAUGCAGAGAUGCUAGUUUAGAGUAAAUAAAGAAGACUGUACAUACGCAAAUGUGGGAUAAACUAGGGUUGGAUACGGCCAGGCCAAACUCAAAAUUGAAGCAGAUGGACCGGACCCGUUUGUAACUGAAAUGUGACGGGACAGUGCUGGUCUUGUUAGCUGAGAAAUGAAACCGGACUUAACCUGACUCGUUUGAAAUGAACCUGUUCCUACAGGUCCAAGGGUCAUUUUUUUAUAUAAAUUUUUUGUUAAUAAACUAUGACUGUUGUGCUUAAAGUAUAAGCUGGGUGUGCUUGAACAAAAUAGCUGUUGUGCUACAAGUAAAAGCACAAUAAAUUAUAGUGGAGUAGCCUACCAUCACUUUUCAAUUUUCAUAAGUUCCAAGUGAGCCGAAGGCAAAGGCUAACAGUCAGCCAAAAUGCCCAACUGAAAAUAUAGAAAAGAAAGUACACAAACAGCAAGUUACAAAAUGAUUGUCCUUUAAACCAAAUCAUGGUGACGCCAAAUUGCCACAAACCAACUUGCAAAUUUGAAUUCUUCAAAUCUAGAAGACAAUCUUAACUCCAUGCAACCUCCCUAAUAAAAUUAAAUCAAUCACAAAACCCUAAUAGCAAUUGAUUAACAUGAGAUUAAUAAAUUUCAUCGAAAAUCUAAUUAGAUAAUACCUUUAAAUUAACCACAAAAAUAACAAAACCGCAUCAAAAUCCCAAUUUUCAAUUCCACUGUAGAGAGAAAUCGAGUAGAUCCCCCAAUAAAAUGAAACAUGCAAAUGAGAAUUAAAUAAUUACAACUCAAAUUAAAAGCUUAUGCUUUCAUAGACAUCUGAAUUCUUGAAAAUUUACCCAUCUAGGCGGUAGCCCCAAUUAGUCGAAAUCGAUCGAGCAUGAGAGAUUUUCUUUCAUAGACAUUUGUUUUACUAGACAUUUGCUUUCAAACGAGCAUGAGAGACUCAUGUAGAACAAGAUAUGGAUUAAUUUUGAAGACAUCCAUCAUAUGGUAAAUUAUUAGAAUUGGAUAUCUACUUUUCCCUACAAUAAUAACUGGGUGUUGUUAUUGGAACUCAACUCACAAUCAAAAUAUAAUUAUCAUUCAUUUUUCUCUCUUCGUGGCCAAAGGACUAAUUUUGAUCAAGUAUUUGAAGUUGGGAAACUGAAACUACAUUUAUGUGCUCAUCUGAAAACCACAUUUAUUUGAUCACGUUUUCUUUCAUUACUUUUUUUUAUAUACAUUUUCUAACAUGCCAUUACAUAAUCUGAUCUCUUUUUAAUUGUAUUAUUGUAUCAGGUAAAAAAAACCACAUUUAUGGUAAGGACUUUAUGCAGAGCGGGCGGGAACCACCAAUAUUUUGGUGGUUCUGUCAAAUGCCUUAAUUGUUGCUGAAGAUUCAAGAGUUACAGCAUUUUAUGGUGAAAGUAAUAUUUCUUUAUCUUUAACUAACAAAUUGAUUAUUACUCGACUAUGUUUAUAGUAUAUGCAGUAUAUUAAUUGGUUCUAAUUUAUAUAUACAGUUCGACCCGAAGAAAAGAAAGUUAAACGCAUUUCUAAGAAUCCUCCAACACGAGCAACAUGAUGUCAUGAUCAAUGUGAUGCGCAUUAUAUGUUAGGACAUAUAUUCACAAGGAAGAUAUUAGAGUCCAUUAGGAGAGAGCAAUGCUUCUUUCCUUGCUUGGAAAUUCGCCUAUUUUUCCCUCUUCCACUUCACAAGGACUUGUAUCAGGAGGUUUGAAUGCAUUCAUAUUGAUCAUGACACCAUGUUGCUCGUGUUGGAGGAUUCUUAGAAAUGCAUUUAACUUUCUUUUCUUCGGGUCUAACUGUAUACAUAAAUUAGAACCAAUUAAUAUACUACAUAUACUAUAAAAAUAGUCAAAUAAUAAUCAAUUCGGUUGUUAAAGAUAAAGAAAUAUUACUUUAGCCGGAAUAUGAUGUAACUCUUGAAUAUCCAGCAACAAUUAAGGCAUCUGGCUGAACCACCAAAAUAUUGGUGGCUCCCGCCUGCUCUGCAUAAAGUCCUUACCAUAAAUGUGGUUUUCUUUGCCUGAUACAAUAAUACAAUUAAAAAGAGAUGAGCACACAAUCAAAUUAUGUAAUGGCAUGUUAGAAAAUGGAUAUAAAAAAACGUAAUGAAAGAAAACUAAAGACAGAAAACUUGGUUUUACUUACUGUCUUAGAGAUUUUCUGUUUAAUUGUUCUCAUCAAAUUGUUUGUCUACUUUCAUUUGGUCUUUUAUAAUGUAUAAGAUUGUGUUUGAAGGGGUGAAUAUACUGAUGAACUGAACGCAGUCAAACCUCAUGAUACAAGUCCGUGUGAAGUGGAAGAGGGAAAAAUAGGCGAAUUUCAAAGCAAGGAAAGAAGCAUUGCUCUCUCCUAAGAGGGAAAAAUACCGACUAUAGGGACUACAGAAAAAUUACUGCUACUUUCAUUGUCAGAUAGUGUUUUUAACUUUUCUUUAUCUUUAUCCCUACCAUAGGGACAGAAUCCUUCCUCAACUACGUAAGUUGUGGGAGUUCUUUGUGAAACCUUGCGCCCAAUACCUUCUCUAAGACCAAGGCGAUUUCGCUGUUCUGCAAGGUGUUCUAACCUCUGAAAUAACUCCUCUAUCCUACCAUUCAUGCCAUUGUAAUUAAAAGGAAUACGAGAGGUAGAGAGGAAAUUGCACACCUGGGAAUCAGAAAACACAUUCAUCAGGAUUUGAACCCAUGGGAAUCCUGCAAGGUGUUCUAACCUCUGAAAUUAUAAACCGAUUAAAGUUUCAGCAACAAGGAGAUUACUCAAUCAGAAAACACAUUCAUCAGGAUUUGAACCCAUGGGAAUCAGCUGUAAUUAAUAAUUAUCAAUAAUUAAAAGUAAUGAACCAGAAAUUCUAGCAAAAAUAAUUCGCAAUUGCAGAAAUACAGUAAAAUCUGCAUUCCAAUCAAACAGAGGGCAUGGAAAAUCGAAGUGUGGAUGGGAAUUUACAGACCUGGACGAGCUAAACUAAAUUUCAGGCCUAACUAGUAACUACAUUAUUCAGACACAAUCCAAAACAAUACUGCUAUGUUAUAUAUUCUAAACAAAAUUAGCUUACUGUAACUCAACCAUUGAAGCCCACCAAUUAGGGCUGGGUUCGGUUUAAAACGGUUCGGUUUUUUGCCAAAACCGAAACCGAACCGAAAUUUCGAUUCAGUUCGGUUCGGUUAUUUUUUUUUUCGGUUCGGUUUUUUUCGGUUUCGGUUUUUUCCGGUUCGGGUUUCGGUUUUUUCGGUUUUUUUUUUCUUUCAAAAAAUGAUGUAAAUAAUGGAAGGAGCUUACCUAUCAACCUCCCAAUUCUCAUAUAUCAGAGAAUUGAGAACCUCAAAAUCCUGAAUAUAACUUUAAAAUUUGCAAAAUCAUGAAAUAAUUCAACAAAUUAACUGAUGCAGAUCAAAAAAAAAAAAAAAAAAAGCAAAUGGGUUCGUCUAAAUGCCAUAAUCGAACUCCAAUAUCACAUGUCCAGUGCCCAUAUUCAAAUUCAUAGUCUAGUCCACAAUAGAUCUAGAAAAUUCCAAAACAUAUUCAGAGAAAAAUACAAACUUUUCCACCUUAAAUUACAUAAAUUUCAAAUGGGUAACCUAAAAUUAAAAACCCAUAAACUGAAAAAUAGAUAAAACCCACAACCUUUGCUGCAGCGAUAUCGCAGUGAUCGUCGCAAGCUCUUACAAUUCCUCUUUUCGUCGGGUCUCGAAAGGGGCGAGGGAAAAUCAUUGUUUGGAAGAAAGAAUCCACGAGGAGGACAAGAGAAGACUAGAGAGAGUGAUUUGGAGGAAGAGAGGAAGGAGAGGGAGAGAGAGAGAGACUGAGGAAGCAGAGAGGAAGCCGCGGCGGGGAGAGAGACUUUGAGAUCUGAAAAUGAAAUGGGAAUGGGACACUGACGACUAGGGUUUUAAGCUUAAGAAAUUUUAUAAACCAUUCAAUAUAAGAAACCUAUAAAUAAUAUACUAGUACAAUUAUAACAAUAGAAAGCCUACAGUCAAGUUGGCUGACAGUACCUAAACCCAACCUACAGGUCAGGGGUUCGAACCUUGAUGCUAACAUAUUUUUUAGUAUUUAUAUAUAUAUUUUUUUUCGGUUCGGUUUCUAGACCUCAAAAACCGAAACCGAACCAACCAGAUUCGGUUCGGUUCGGUUUGGCAGUUUCGGUUCGGUUUUUUUCGGCCUCGGUUCGGUUUGGUUUUCGGUUUUUUUCGGUUUUCGGUUAUUUGAACCCACCCCUACCACCAAUCCCCCUAUAAUCCAAAACAACACUUCUCUCCGUGCUUGGCAAUUGCAGCCAAUCCAUCCCCCUAUAAUUCGUGCAGGUCCUAUUUCCCCAUCCCCUAUAAUUUUAUUCCACAAAUUCGUGCACCCACCCUCCCAAAGACCUGCAGGUCCUGCACUGCACCCACCCUAAACCGGAACCCAUCCAACCUGAAACCCUCCCAAAAACCUGCACCCAUCCUAAUCCGAAACCCACAGUCCUCAAACCCUCACACAUUCGACAAAAUGCUCAGAAAUCAAGUUAAUCAACAUGAAAUUUGACCCUAAACCCUAAAGAAAAGCCCAGCUUACCUGGAUUUUGGGUCUCGAUUCGUGUCAGAUUCGCAUCUUCCUGCGUCUGUGUGUGUGGCCGGAUGAGCGUCGUUGAAGUGAACGGAGGAGCGGCGUUCAAACUGGACGGGCUUGACGGAGGACGGGAGGAGCGCUGGAGCGCCGUUUGACCUUUGUUCUUCGAGAGAGAGUGAGUGAGCGAUUGAGAGAGAGAGAGGGACCUAACUUACAAUGGUCAUUAGGAUUUAAUCUUAACCAAUCUUACGGUGCAAGUAAUUUCUAAUUAUAAAUUAAAAAUAUAUAUAUUUAUAUAUAUAAUAUUUGGUUCGGUUCGGAAUGACUGAACAGUUUCAAAGAUGAGGCUGAAUCCCAAACCAAAACAUUUCGGUUUCGGGUACCGAAUAUUUCGGGAAAUUUUCGAUCAAAAUUUGGGAAGGAUUAGGGACGGUUUGGGAUUUUCAAGAAAAAAUUCCAUUCCUAUAAAUUUGAAUCACUAUUCUUAUCUCUGUAAUUUAGAUGAGUUUAUUAUAAAUUAUCUUAUAUUUUGUUAAAAAAUCCAUUUCAUAAAUAAGUAGAUGUGAUAUGCUUAAAUGCAAAUCUGUAACAAAAGCAAUGGAAAAGAAUAAGUACAAAAACGGAAUCGUUGCCUUUUAUCUCUAGGUAAAAUAGAGCACCAAGAUGGUCAUCAAAGAGGUUUUGAUUACGACUGCCCACUUCACCUUCUACGAAUUCAACAUCAAGGACAAUCAAUGGGUUCGUUUCCCGAAUCGUAACUUCCAGUUCUCCAUUUGGUUGCCCACAGAAAAAAAACCACAAUUAAAUCUUCAAACAACGGAAAUUUGAAGCAUAAAGUGAGAACAAAUAGGUCGAAAUGUGACACAGAUGUUAGUAAACUUUAUGGUCUUCAAUCUUGAUAAUUUAUGCACACAUUGGAAUCCAGACUUCACAUAUUCGCUUAUAUUUGUUGAUCUCUUGGCACAUCUAUACUAAAUUGUUUGGUAUUAGUCAUUUUUUUAAUUCAUAUUUCAAUUUUGUAAGUAGAAAAGGUAUAUUUGUAAAUGAAGAUAUCAAAAUAAAAUAAAAAUUUGUAAUUGCGCCAAGCACAUGUAAUUAUAAAUUUGUAAGUCACGCGUAGCACGCCUGAUUAAAGAUCUCUAAUCAAUGUACCAUUGUUAGCACACUUGAUUAAAGGCCUCUAAUCCAUGUACCAAUUGUUAACAAUGAUAAAUAACUAACGCAACACAUUUUAGGGGCGGGUAGCGCUUGUGAUUAAAAAAAUGCCUAACGUGCAUGCAAAGAGGCUAGUUUAGAGUAAAUAAAGAAGAUUGUAAAUAUGCAAAUGCGGGAUAAGUUAAGUGUGGAUAUGGGGUAGGCUAGACUCAAAAUUGAAGCAGACGGACCAGACCCAUUUGUAAAUGAAAUGUUGCAGGGUAGGGCGGGUCUUGUUAGUUGAGAAAUGAAACCAGACUUAACCUGACUCGUUUGAACGAACCGGUUCCUACAAGUUCAUGGGUCCUUUUUUAUAUAUAUAAUGUUUGUUAAUAAGUUAUGACAGUUGUGCUUGAAGUAAAAGCUGGUGUGCUUGAACAAAAUAGCUGUUGUGCUCCAAGUCAAAGCACAAUAAAUUAUAAUGGAGUAGCUUACCAUCACUUUUCAAUUUUCACAAACAGCAAGUUAGGCUAUCUCCAACCGAGGGCUGGUCAGAUGGCUCGUUUUAGCCAUCUGACCCUCAAAGAUAUUAAGGUCAUCUCCAACCGAAGGUUGGCCAGUAGGCUCAUUUUAGCCCUCUGGCUUUCCAAGAUAUUAAUAUUUUAAUGAAUAGUACAAGGCCAUAUUUGCAUCAAUCUCCAACUGAGGGCCAAAGGCCCGGAGGGCUCAUUUUAGCCCUAUCACAAAAAACUUAGCCCUUGGUUGGAGACGGAUUUCGGGCUAUUUUUGGCCCUCUGGACAGGCCAUCUCCAACCAAGGGCUGGCCAGAGGGCUCGUUUUAGCCCUAUGGCCCUCCAAGAUAUUAAUAUUUUAAUGAACAGUACAGAGUUAUAUUUACCUUCAUCUCCAACCGAGGGCUAAAGGGCCAUAGGACUCGUUUUAGCCAUAUCACGAAAAAUCGUCUCCAACCGAAAGCGGUCGGAAGAGGCAGAAACGCCUCUGUGAGUCUUUCUAACCCCUGAAUGGGUGGAUAUGGCUAAGCCAUUAGCUAGUCUCCUUUUUAAUAAGAUAAAAAUAUAUAUAUACACACACACACACAUUUGCUACACCAACUAGUAUAGGUAAGUCCACAUUAGGCUAGGUUACAAAAUUUAAACUUAAAAGCCGCAGACUUGGGUGGCUAGAGCAAUGUGGUUCGAAUCCUUGUUUUCAUAUCCAUAAUUUAGCUAAAUUUAGUGUGGAUCAUCUUAUCGUUUUUUCAUAAAUCCCGUGUAACGAAUAAUUCAAUGUGAUAUGUUUAAAUGCAAAACUUGAGCGAAACACAGUGAAAUGAUUAGAAACUAUCUCCACCACAUAUCUGUACCAAAAACAAUGGAAAAGAACAAGUACAAAUGUUUACAUGAGAGAAGUUGUAAGGACUUGGAUUGUGAGGGUCAUCUCCACUUUGAAAGUAAUAGCUGAAAGUUGGAGGUUCAUGCAGAUUAAACCAUUCGCCAUUGAUGAACACCUCAAAAGAGCGAAACCAGCCCUGCUGAAACUUUUAAGUACAAAAUUAAAAAAUAAACAGUUCAAAGAUCCGACUUUGAUUUGCAUCAAUGAAAGUUGCAACGAAUGCGAACUAUAUUGCCUCAAUCUUUUCAAUUCAUAUUCUUUGCACACCUCUUCUUCAGAGAAGAACAAACUUUUUGGUGAUAGAUGGCGGGAAAUCCUCUUCUGGCAGGAAUGCAAGACAAUCGAUGAUGCAUAGCUGAGCUGAGGUCCUUCUCCGGGCAGGAAUUCCGAGAGUGCGUGGUGUUUUGAUCCACAGAUUUCAAACUUGAUCGUCCAGACGGUGUGAGUGGAAGAGAGCCGCUGUUGUUUGAGCAAUGUCUCCAACAGAUCCUCACGUCCCCUGAUCUGAAAUUCUCCAAGGGAGACAUAGCACAGCUCGAUUCCACUGUUAAAAAAUACCCGAUAUUAUAAAUGCAAAUAUAGACAAGGCAAAAUGAAAAAAGCAAAAGAAAAGGAAGGUAAAUUACAAUUUACAAAUCAUCAGUGUUAAACCGAGAAUCGAUAUUUAUCCUUCUGGUGAAAUCUGUAGCGGAACAACCAGCCUCCUUGUCAGCCUCCUUGUAUGGUAACGCAAUGUACUGGCAUUCAUCCAAACACAGUUAAGUGGUGCUAAAUACAGAUUAGUGUCAAAUUAACUUUGAAGACAAUCAAUUCUGUUGGAAAAUUUGAGGACAAUCAAUUUAACAUAACUACAGAUAAGUGGUACUAAAUACGUACCAGGCUUUGUCUUGAGAGUUGAGAGUUAGAGUGAAAUGAAGGCUCAUAUGGUGAUUUCAUCAUCUAUCCUUAUGCAAGGAAUACGAGAUAUGUUUCUCCAAUCUUUUCCCUUCUUGUUCCGAUACAUCUUCUUCAGGAAGGACAACCCCAGAUGCUGAGAUGAGAAAGAGAUGCUGGCAAACCCUCUUUCGGCAAGAAUUCAAGACUCUCGCAGCUCAAAAAUUCGUAGCUGUUGAAGAGAAGUGAGGUGCUCAAGUCCCUUUCCGUCCAAAGAUUUCAGAUUCCAUACAUAAGAGAUCCAGAGAGUGGGGAGAGUGGCAAGGAGCAGGUGUUCAUUGAGCAACGUCUCCAGCAGAUCCUUGUUUCCUUCGAUCUGAAAUUAAUUGGCUCCUGUAGGAAGAUUUAGUAUUAACCACCCACCAUAAAAUGAACUUAAAGGUAGUCAUUACAGAACAAAGCACACUAUGGUUCAUGAGCAAACUUAAAAGUAAUCAUUACAACUUAUGACUAUUACUAAGUUAAAGUUUUUUAGGGUGUCAAAGAUUCGCCUCAUCAAAAUCUUGUGGGAGAUUUCAACCCAGUUGAAGAAAAAAGAGUACCACACACCAACAAACUACAAGUUAUGACUAUCUAGCUUGUAUUAAUUAAAACAUCCAAAAUAAUGUCCAGGGGAGUCUUCAAACUAUAGCAACUCUUGAUAUCAUGCAAGUCUAUGUGCAACAUUUUUUGGCCUCUCGUCUCACAUAAUAUUGGACCAAACGCAGAAUAAUCCUUCUUCUUUUGCUACAGUCCCGCCAAAGAUAGAGUGGAAUUACUCUCCACUUCCACAGCUGCAGCCGCCAUCGGCAGCCAACGACGCAGUGUUCUGGCCUAAAACGUAUGUGGUAGAGAAAAAUGAAACCCUACGCGAGCACUUGCUGCAAUGCAGCAACAAAGUGUGGCUGCAUACGAAUCAGAAAAACAAAUACUAUAUAUUAAGAGAAACAAUGAAUGGACCCCUUAGCGACUGUGAAAUCCUGCUAUGUGCGAUAAUGUACAUGACGCACUUCCACGGUUGAGUUGCUACUUACCAAGAAGGUUUCUAAAUUUGAGAGUCCAUUGCUCCAACUUUCACCUUCAAACUUGGGUUAAGGCGUAUCAUCGUCAAUUUCUCCAGGGCAUCUUCCUCUAGAGCGGUUAACGAAUCAAAUGAUUGCCUGCAUAUAAAGUAAGCAAAUCUGCAAUGUUCAAAAAAAAUUUGCUUCGUUUGUUAACUUGCUAUGCGAGUCACACGACAUCACACACGCUAAUAUAAAGAAAACAUUGCAUAUUCUCUUGAUUGCUCAUGAAAUCCACAGUCGUGAGAAGAAUGCUAUAACCUCUCAGUUCCCUUGAUCACUACCAGGAGAUAAGGUGUUCAUUGGCGGCAACAAUAGGCACAAUUUUGUUUAAGGUAUGUGAUAUAUAUAUAUAUAUAUAUAUAUAUAUAUAUAUAUAUAUAUACACACAUAUAUAUAUAUGUAUGUAUGUAUAUUCUUCUUUAAGGAGAGUAUGUGGAUGCAGAGUUUUGAUGAAAAUGUAGGAAAAGAACGCAGAGCUCUACCUUCACACGCUUUCUACCGUUUCAUUAUAAAUCGAACUGUGAAAAGCAUGUUUUCUCUCAAAUCCAUUUCAAUAGAAUGCCAACUCAACCACUUUCCUUUUUCAUACCUCAGCUUAACAAGAUACUCCUAAAUUCAAAGAUGAAGAAAUUAUUAUUGAUACAUUUAUCUUAGAAAACAAGCGAAUGGAACUUAAAGCAAAAGUGAGUGGUGGAACGCUCAAUUACCGCUCAUCCGCAGAGCUCAACAUAAGAAUUAUCAUUCUUGUGAAAUCCAUUGCACACCAGCCAACCACUUAUUCAAGUAAUAUCAUUUACUGGAAUACCAACAAACACAAGCAUGACGACACUGCUACAAGGAACAAGCGCUCUGUUCGACCACUUUGUCUGUAAAAAAGCACAUCUGCACCCAUUCGAAGAUAAGAAUGACAUCAAGAGAAGAUGAAAAGGCAUGUCUCCCAUACUCAAACUAUAAACAGUAUUAGAAGAAAAAAACAUCAUUCCAGGGAUUACCUCGCCGAUUAAAGGAGAAUUAUAUUCAUGCCAGAUAACUGGAGCUAGCACCAUUCAAGGACAACCAAUUGAUGCAUGUUUAAAUCGUUGGCUGUAGAUAAUCCUAUCUUUACAAGUCCAGAGUUGCUAGCUGCAUCAAUAAAGCCGACAAAUACGUUAGUCCCAUUGUGUUGUCCUGACUGAUUGCAUAGUUGAUUUACAUUGAUACAUAAAGGACGGACAAA